AAUACUGUUUGAUCCUGGCUCAGAACGAACGCUGGCGGCAGGCCUAACACAUGCAAGUCGAGCGCCUCGCAAGAGGAGCGGCGGACGGGUGAGUAACGCGUGGGAACGUACCCUUUGCUACGGAAUAGCCUCGGGAAACUGGGAGUAAUACCGUAUGUGCCCCCCCAAUCAAAUUUCAUUUGAUUGAAUAAUCAGACUUAUCAAAUUCCAGUGGAAUUUGAUGGGGGGGGAAAGAUUUAUCGGCAAGGGAUCGGCCCGCGUUGGAUUAGGUAGUUGGUGGGGUAAUGGCCUACCAAGCCGACGAUCCAUAGCUGGUUUGAGAGGAUGAUCAGCCACACUGGGACUGAGACACGGCCCAGACUCCUACGGGAGGCAGCAGUGGGGAAUCUUAGACAAUGGGCGCAAGCCUGAUCUAGCCAUGCCGCGUGAGCGAUGAAGGCCUUAGGGUUGUAAAGCUCUUUCAGGGGGGAAGAUAAUGACUGUACCCCCAGAAGAAGCCCCGGCUAACUCCGUGCCAGCAGCCGCGGUAAUACGGAGGGGGCUAGCGUUGUUCGGAAUUACUGGGCGUAAAGCGCACGUAGGCGGACGAGAAAGUCAGAGGUGAAAUCCCAGGGCUCAACCUUGGAACUGCCUUUGAAA
rnacentral:rRNA from 1 species